GACGAACGCUGGCGGCGUGCUUAACACAUGCAAGUCGAACGGAAAGGCCCUGCUUUUGUGGGGUGCUCGAGUGGCGAACGGGUGAGUAACACGUGAGUAACCUGCCUUUGACUCUGGGAUAACUUCAGGAAACUGGGGCUAAUACCGGAUAUGAGCUCCUGCUGCAUGGUGGGGGUUGGAAAGUUUCGGCGGUUGGGGAUGGACUCGCGGCUUAUCAGCUUGUUGGUGGGGUUGUGGCUUACCAAGGCUUUGACGGGUAGCCGGCCUGAGAGGGUGACCGGCCAUAUUGGGACGGAGAUACCGCCCAGAAUCCUUCGGGAGGAAGCAGUGGGGAAUAUUGCACAGUGGGCGGAAGCCUGAUGCAGCAACGCCGCGUGCGGGAUGACGGCCUUCGGGUUGUAAACCGCUUUCGCCUGUGACGAAGCGUGAGUGACGGUAAUGGGUAAAGAAGCACCGGCUAACUACGUG
rnacentral:rRNA from 1 species